rnacentral:rRNA from 1 species
GACGAACGCUGGCGGCGUGCUUAACACAUGCAAGUCGAACGGAAAGGCCCUGCUUUUGUGGGGUGCUCGAGUGGCGAACGGGUGAGUAACACGUGAGUAACCUGCCCUUGACUUUGGGAUAACUUCAGGAAACUGGGGCUAAUACCGGAUAGGAGCUCCUGCUGCAUGGUGGGGGUUGGAAAGUUUCGGCGGUUGGGGAUGGACUCGCGGCUUAUCAGCUUGUUGGUGGGGUAGUGGCUUACCAAGGCUUUGACGGGUGGCCGGCCUGAGAGGGUGACCGGCCACAUUGGGACUGGGAUACGGCCCAGACUCCUACGGGAGGCAGCGGUGGGGAAUAUUGCACAAUGGGCGGAAGCCUGAUGCAGCAACGCCGCGUGCGGGAUGACGGCCUUCGGGUUGUAAACCGCUUUCGCCUGUGACGAAGCGUGAGUGACGGUAAUGGGUAAAGAAGCACCGGCUAACUACGUG